rnacentral:misc_RNA from 1 species
AACCAUUCUCACCUGCGGCUAGACCUGCGGAGGGAUCAUUACCGAGUUUACAACUCCCAAACCCCUGUGAACAUACCUAUACGUUGCCUCGGCGGAUCAGCCCGCGCCCUGUAAAAAGGGACGGCCCGCCCGAGGACCCUAAACUCUGUUUUUAGUGGAACUUCUGAGUAAAACAAACAAAUAAAUCAAAACUUUCAACAAUGGAUCU